UACGGAGGGGGCUAGCGUUGUUCGGAAUUACUGGGCGUAAAGCGCACGUCGGCGGAUUGUUAAGUCGGGGGUGAAAUCCCGGGGCUCAACCCCGGAAUGGCCUCCGAUACCGGCAAUCUUGAGGUCGGGAGAGGUGAGUGGAAUGGCGAGUGUAGAGGUGAAAUUCGUAGAUAUUCGCCGGAACACCAGUGGCGAAGGCGGCUCACUGGCCCGAUACUGACGCUGAGGUGCGACAGCGUGGGGAGCAAAUAGG
rnacentral:rRNA from 1 species